rnacentral:rRNA from 1 species
CAUAGCGACUAUCGUGGCAUAUCAAUAAGCGGAGGAAAAGAAACUAACUAGGAUUCCCUUAGUAACGGCGAGUGAAGCGGGAAGAGCUCAAAUUUGAAAUCUUCAAGGGUUUACCUUUACGAAUUGUAGUUUAUAAGAAGUGUUUUCUGUUAGUAGAGUUCGGCUAAAAGUUCUUUGGAAUAGGACAUCAUAGAGGGUGAGAAUCCCGUAUUUGACCGUUACUUUCCAGCUGUGUGAUACACUUUCAAAGAGUCGGAUUGUUUGGGAAUGCAGUCCAAGAUGGGUGGUAAAUUUCAUCUAAAGCUAAAUAUUGGCGAGAGACCGAUAGCGAACAAGUACCGUGAGGGAAAGAUGAAAAGAACUUUGAAAAGAGAGUUAAACAGUACGUGAAAUUGUCAAAAGGGAAGCGUUUGACACCAGUAUUGUUUAGUUGAAAAUCAAUUCAAUAAUUUUUGAUUCUAAGUAGUAUUGACUUCAUCAGCUUGCUGCUUUCUUCUCAGAAAUUAUUUAAUGCACUUUUCAGUUAACAAGUCAACAUCAAUUUCUUUUGUUGUAAAAGGGUAAGAGGAAGGUGGCUUGCGCUUCGGCUCAAGUGUUUAUAGCCUUUUAGCUCCUGCAAUCGGAGAGAUUGAGGUCUGCAGCGUAGAUCCUUCGGGGUUAGAUACAUUUGUGCUAAGCUAUAGCCUUGUAUAGACAACUUGUUGACUAUGUUAGUCAUUGUAGCUUACUCGCUUAUGUAUUUUACCUACGCUUAGGAUGUUGAUAGUCACAGCGUGUAC